UGAAGAAUUGGAUCAGCUGCUGCGGUGUCUAAGAGAGCCGAUCGUUAGAAUCGGAUAACUAGCAUUGUGAUUCGAUCUCUCGUGGGAUGGAGACCCGAGGGGGAAUACAGAGGAGACAAGGAUAUACGUUCUGGAGUUUUUUGUGGCUCGGGAUUUCGUGUGCUCUUUGGUACUUCCUCCAAGAAUGGACGACUCCAGUAGUGCAAAUACUGUGGAUGGUCGGAAACUGCCUUGCUGUGAUGUACUCCUUCCAACUUUGGGUGCUCCUCAUGACCUUAAGGAGAGACCUGGGCGCUGGUGUCAAUCAAUUCAAAGCCAAGCGGGCGCUGAGGUCGCAAAUUAAUCGCAAGGCAACUGUAGCUCAGCUCUUUACCGAAACUGCUACACAGUACCCGGAUAAACUGCUGAUGUCGUCACCGAAAUCUUCCUGGACCUUUUCCGAAGCGCGAGUGUUCACGAAUCGAGUGGCGAAUCACUUCCGAAGUCGAGGACUCAAAGCCGGCGAUGAGGUCUGCCUCCUCAUGGAGAACCGACCCGAAUUCCUCAUGAUAUGGCUCGGCUUGAGUAAACUCGGUCUGGUUACAGCGCUUAUAAACUACAACAUUAAGAGCAAGGCGCUGGCGCACUGCGUGAACGCCGUCAAAACCAAGGUUGUGAUAUUCAGUAAUUCUCUGGCACCCUCAUUGAGUUCUGCGUUGGGAGAUGUAAAUGACUCUGAAUCGAUUGAGUUCUACCAUUUGGAUAGCGGGAACGCUCCCGAGGUGGCCCUGAGAAGCGAAUCUCUGCUCGAUUGCCUCCAGCAGGCAUCGACCGACGAGAAACUUCAUCAAGGAAGCCCGAAGGAUCGCCUCCUGUACAUUUUCACCUCGGGUACGACGGGUUUGCCCAAAGCCGCCAUCGUGACCAACUUGAGGUACAUGUACGUGGCUGCCAACAUGUUCUUCAUGUGUCCCUUCAGAGUCGACGACAAAAUCUACCUAUCGUUGCCUCUGUAUCACAACUCGGGCGGCACCCUAGGACCGGGACCGUGCCUGAUCUACGGACUGAGCUGUCAUAUCGCACCGAAAUUUUCCGCGUCGAACUUCUGGUCCGAUUGUAAAAAAUUUGACUGCACGGUCGCUCUGUACAUAGGCGAAAUGGUCAGGUAUCUGUUGGCACAGCCAACUCGGGAAGCAGAUGAUACGCACAAGGUUCGAUUGCUGUUCGGCCACGGAGCCCGGAAACAACUGUGGGAGGAAUUCCGUCGACGUUUCAAGCUUGACGACAUCAGGGAAAUAUACGGAUCCACCGAGGGCAACGCCGGCCUCAUGAACGUGGACAACAAGCCGGGAGCCAUCGGUUUCUUAUCAACUCCGUGUCGGAUGAGUCGGACGCUCGCCCGAAUCGUGAUGCCGAUGUUCGUCAUCAAGAUCGACCCGGAAACGGGCAAGCCUGUCCGAGAUCAUCGAGGCCUCUGCGUCGAGUGCAAGGCUCACGAGCCCGGAGAACUCAUUGGAUUGAUCACAUCGCAACCCGCGAUGAAAUUUGAGGGUUACGUCGAUAGAAACGCAACGCAGAAGAAAAUCUACACCGACGUUUUCCGGCAUGGAGAGAACGCAUUCGCCACGGGUGAUAUCGUUGUCUACGACGAUCUCGGCUAUGUGUUCUUCCAAGAUCGUACGGGUGAUACUUUCCGAUGGAAGAGUGAAAACGUCUCUACGAACGAAGUCGAGAGCGUUAUCGCGAAAAUCAUCGGUCUGACGGAUGCCAUAGUUUACGGGGUGGAGGUCGAGGGCACUGAGGGCAAAGCGGGAAUGGUCGCCAUUCUGAUUAAGGAGAAUCAAGAUGAGAUCGAUCUGAGCGAUCUUCUGAGACAAAUGGAUGAGAACCUGCCCGCUUACGCAGUGCCGCUCUUCGUGAGAUUCACCCGACAAAUCGAGUCGACCAGCACGCUGAAAUAUAAGAAAAACACCCUGGUCGAUGAAGGUUUCAACCCCGCCAAGGUGAAAGACGCUUUGUUCUUCUUGGAUCGUUCGAAGCAACAAUAUGUCCCGCUCGACGAGAAUCUCUAUAGUGAGAUAGUUUCAGCCAAAGUACGUCUCUGAAAUCUGCGUACAUCUGAAUUAUCGUUUGCCGGCAGGCUCGGCGAGCGAUGCUCGUUUGUUUGGCUCGUUCCUUGCCAGCCGAACUCGCGUACAUAUUCAAGUGGUUACAAUAUUUUCCGAUAAGCGAGUUUUUUACGAUGGUGCACCGAAAAAGACGACAAACCUUAUAUUCCAUGGAACCGUUCGAAAUUAUGGGAGCAACGGUCCCCGAAAGCCCAAACCGAGAGGAAGGUCAGGGUGAUAUUUUUGACUCUGGGAGUUCUCAACUCCAUAAGACGACCAAUAAAAACGUGACGUAUUCUU
rnacentral:sRNA from 1 species